AGUAACGAUAAAGCGGGUGAAAAGCCCGCUCGCCGGAAGACCAAGGGUUCCUGUCCAACGUUAAUCGGGGCAGGGUGAGUCGACCCCUAAGGCGAGGCCGAAAGGCGUAGUCGAUGGGAAACAGGUUAAUAUUCCUGUACUUGGUGUUACUGCGAAGGGGGGACGGAGAAGGCUAUGUUGGCCGGGCGACGGUUGUCCCGGUUUAAGCGUGUAGGCUGGUUUUCCAGGCAAAUCCGGAAAAUCAAGGCUGAGGCGUGAUGACGAGGCACUACGGUGCUGAAGCAACAAAUGCCCUGCUUCCAGGAAAAGCCUCUAAGCAUCAGGUAACAUCAAAUCGUACCCCAAACCGACACAGGUGGUCAGGUAGAGAAUACCAAGCGCUUGAGAGAACUCGGGUGAAGGAACUAGGCAAAAUGGUGCCGUAACUUCGGGAGAAGGCACGCUGAUACGUAGGUGAAGUCCCUCGCGGAUGGAGCUGAAAUCAGUCGAAGAUACCAGCUGGCUGCAACUGUUUAUUAAAAACAC
rnacentral:rRNA from 1 species